GACGAACGCUGGCGGCGUGCUUAACACAUGCAAGUCGAACGGAAAGGCCCUGCUUUUGUGGGGUGCUCGAGUGGCGAACGGGUGAGUAACACGUGAGUAACCUGCCCUUGACUUUGGGAUAACUUCAGGAAACUGGGGCUAAUACCGGAUAGGAGCUCCUGCUGCAUGGUGGGGGUUGGAAAGUUUCGGCGGUUGGGGAUGGACUCGCGGCUUAUCAGCUUGUUGGUGGGGUAGUGGCUUACCAAGGCUUUGACGGGUAGCCGGCCUGAGAGGGUGACCGGCCACAUUGGGACUGAGAUACGGCCCAGACUCCGACGGGAGGCAGCAGUGGAGAAUAUUGCACAAUGGGCGGAAGCCUGAUGCAGCAUCGCCGCGUGCGGGAUGACGGCCUUCGGGUUGUAAACCGCUUUCGCCUGUGACGAAGCGUGAGUGACGGUAAUGGGUAAAGAAGCACCGGCUAACUACGUG
rnacentral:rRNA from 1 species